rnacentral:rRNA from 1 species
GUGAAAUUGUAGCCGUGGUGAAGAUGCCACGUACCCGCGGUCAGACGGAAAGACCCCGUGAACCUUUACUGCAGGUUGGCACUGGCCCAGCGUCCUUUCUGUGUAGCAUAGGUGGGAGGCAGCGAUCCGGCGGCGCCAGCCGUCGGGGAGCCAUCGGUGAAAUACCACCCUGAAAUGACGUUGGUCCUCACCGGCCCAUGACCCGGGCCGGGACCGUGCUCAUCGGGCAGUUUGACUGGGGCGGUCUCCUCCCAAAGAGUAACGGAGGAGCGC